UACGGGAGGCAGCAGUGGGGAAUAUUGCACAAUGGGCGCAAGCCUGAUGCAGCCAUGCCGCGUGUAUGAAGAAGGCCUUCGGGUUGUAAAGUACUUUCAGUCGUGAGGAAGGUGUUAAGGUUAAUAACCUUAGCAAUUGACGUUAGCGACAGAAGAAGCACCGGCUAACUCCGUGCCAGCAGCCGCGGUAAUACGGAGGGUGCGAGCGUUAAUCGGAAUUACUGGGCUAAAGGGCACGCAGGCGGUUAAUUAAGUUGGAUGUGAAAUCCCCGGGCUUAACCUGGGAAUGGCAUUCAAGACUGGUUAGCUAGAGUCUUGUAGAGGGGGUAGAAUUCCAUGUGUAGCGGUGAAAUGCGUAGAGAUGUGGAGGAAUACCGGUGGCGAAGGCGGCCCCUGGGACAAAGGACUGACGCUCAUGUGCGAAAGCGUGGGGAGCGAAACAGGGAUUAGAU
rnacentral:rRNA from 1 species